UUGGCCUUUUGGCCUUUGGCUAAGAUCAAGUGUAGUAUCUUAGUGAAUAUCUACAGUUAAUAUCUGAUAUGUCCUCUAUCUGAGUACAAUAUACUAAGUGGAUUUUCUGCAGAAAGGAGAUGGAAUAGGAGCUUGCUCUGUCCACCUGACUCAUCAACCUGGUGCAGUACUUCCAGAAACGGUGCACUCCUC
ensembl:snRNA U2 U2 spliceosomal RNA